UUGGAAUGACAUACAAUGCCAGUCCCUUGUAGCCGCGAUAAAUUAGCCUGAAGCAAUGCUUACCUGUUCAGGAGGAAAUUAACCAGCUUGGCGUCCUUUUGGGCUCAAAGUUGUCUCCAUCCUUCUAAAACAACUCCAAUAUUUACCCAGGGUUUGUAACAUCUCUAGUCAUGCAACUGUUAGAAACAU